rnacentral:rRNA from 1 species
UACAGAGGGUGCGAGCGUUAAUCGGAAUGACUGGGCGUAAAGGGCGUGUAGGUGGUUUUGAGCGUUUGAUGUGAAAGCCCUGGGCUUAACCUGGGAAUGGCAUUGAAUACGGCAAGACUGGAGUCGGUGAGAGGGUAGCGGAAUUUCCGGUGUAGCAGUGAAAUGCGUAGAGAUCGGAAAGAACACCAAUGGCGAAGGCGGCGACCUGGACGGACACUGACGCUGAGACGCGAAAGCGUGGGGAGCAAACAGG